rnacentral:rRNA from 1 species
UACAGAGGUCUCAAGCGUUGUUCGGAUUCAUUGGGCGUAAAGGGUGCGUAGGCGGCGCGGUAAGUCGGAUGUGAAAUCUCGGAGCUUAACUUCGAAACUGCAUUCGAUACUGCUGUGGCUAGAGUCCGGUAGGGGAGCAUGGAAUUCCUGGUGUAGCGGUGAAAUGCGCAGAUAUCAGGAGGAACACCAGUGGCGAAGGCGGUGCUCUGGGCCGGAACUGACGCUGAGGAGCGAAAGCGUGGGGAGCAAACAGG